rnacentral:lncRNA from 1 species
CUUUGGGGCAUAGACUAUACAAGGUGUCGAAGGCAUCCCACAGGGAUGCUCGCACAUGUUGACUCAAAUGCUUCCAACAGUUGUGUCAAGUUGGCUGGAUGCCAUUUGGGUGGUGGACCUUUCUUGAUACACACGGGAAACUGUUGAGCGUGAAAAACCAAGCAGCGCUGAAGUUCUUGACACAAACCGGAGCGCCUGGCACCUACUACCAUACCCCAUGCAAAGAGAGUCCUUGAGCUAGAGGUGGCUGCAGUGGAGCA